rnacentral:rRNA from 57 species
UGACCUCGGAUCAGGUAGGAAUACCCGCUGAACUUA